UAUUUAAAUUAGGACGUUUAAAUCAUGACAACUCACGGAACAUUUUAGCAUGGUGAUGGAUAUGACAAUGUUAAUGUAUUUGGUCUUGGCGG